rnacentral:rRNA from 1 species
GAUGAACGCUGGCGGCGUGCCUAACACAUGCAAGUCGAGCGGGGAUGUAGCAAUACAUCCUAGCGGAGGACGGGUGAGUAACGCGUGGGUAACCUGCCCUAUACAGGGGGAUAACACUGAGAAAUUGGUGCUAACACCGCAUAAGCGCACAGUGCUGCAUGGUACAGUGUGAAAAAAUUUAUUGGUAUAGGAUGGACCCGCGUCUGAUUAGCUAGUUGGUGAGGUAACGGCCCACCAAGGCGACGAUCAGUAGCCGACCUGAGAGGGUGAUCGGCCACAUUGGGACUGAGACACGGCCCAAACUCCUACGGGAGGCAGCAGUGGGGAAUAUUGCACAAUGGGCGCAAGCCUGAUGCAGCAACGCCGCGUGAAGGAAGAAGGUCUUCGGAUUGUAAACUUCUAUCAGAUGGGAAGAUAAUGACGGUACCAUACUAAGAAGCCCCGGCUAACUACGUGCCAGCCGCCGCAGUAACAC